UACGUAGGGGGCAAGCGUUAUCCGGAUUCAUUGGGCGUAAAGAGCGUGUAGGCGGCCAGGUAGGUCGGUUGUGAAAACUGGAGGCUCAACCUUCAGAGGUCGACCGAAACCAUCUGGCUAGAGUCCGGGAGAGGAAAGUGGAAUUCCUGGUGUAGCGGUGAAAUGCGCAGAUAUCAGGAGGAACACCGAUGGCGAAGGCAGGUCUCUGGGCAUUAACUGACGCUGAGGAGCGAAAGCCAGGGGAGCAAACGGG
rnacentral:rRNA from 1 species